rnacentral:rRNA from 1 species
UACGUAGGGUCCGAGCGUUGUCCGGAAUUAUUGGGCGUAAAGGGCUCGUAGGCGGUUUGUUGCGUCGGGAGUGAAAUCCUCCAGCUUAACUGGAGGCUUGCUUUCGAUACGGGCAGACUUGAGGUAUUCAGGGGAGAAUGGAAUUCCUGGUGUAGCGGUGAAAUGCGCAGAUAUCAGGAGGAACACCGGUGGCGAAGGCGGUUCUCUGGGAAUUACCUGACGCUGAGGAGCGAAAGUGUGGGGAGCGAACAGG